GACAGUUUGGCAGUUUCUUCCAAGGCUAAACAUAGUCUUACCAUGUGAUCUAACAAUGACAGGAAGCUGCCUGACGAGGAGCUGUACGGAAAUAAGAGUAAUUCAGUGAUGGGGUCCAAGCAUCCUGAAUAUAAGCGGUCCAUGUCAAGAAAGAGCCAAAGGGCGUCCUCAGGACAUGGAAGAGGGGCAUUCCAGGCUGGCAGCUGGGGAGGCCCAGAGAGCCCUGGAGAAGAUCUGAAGUCCAUUGCAGAGCUUUCUUUAAGACUACUGAAUUGUACAGAAGAAGCAGAAAUGAAAAAAAAAUUAAAAAUAUAGAAAUGAUGUAUUUUAAUGAGAUUUAAACAUCUAGGGGAGAGUUUGGGGUGGGAAUGCUGAUAAGUUCAUAGAAAAGUAAGCAAAUGAAAACAAGACAAAAAUAAUAAAAGCAAAAAGGA
rnacentral:lncRNA from 1 species